GAUGAACGCUGGCGGCGUGCCUAAUACAUGCAAGUCGAGCGAACUGAUUAGAAGCUUGCUUCUAUGACGUUAGCGGCGGACGGGUGAGUAACACGUGGGCAACCUGCCUGUAAGACUGGGAUAACUUCGGGAAACCGUAGCUAAUACCGGAUAGGUUCUUCUCCUUCAUGGGAGAUGAUUGAAAGAUGGUUUCGGCUAUCACUUACAGAUGGGCCCGCGGUGCAUUAGCUAGUUGGUGAGGUAACGGCUCACCAAGGCAACGAUGCAUAGCCGACCUGAGAGGGUGAUCGGCCACACUGGGACUGAGACACGGCCCAGACUCCUACGGGAGGCAGCAGUAGGGAAUCUUCCGCAAUGGACGAAAGUCUGACGGAGCAACGCCGCGUGAGUGAUGAAGGCUUUCGGGUCGUAAAACUCUGUUGUUAGGGAAGAACAAGUACGAGAGUAACUGCUCGUACCUUGACGGUACCUAACCAGAAAGCCACGGCUAACUACGUGCCAGCAGCCGCCGUAAUAC
rnacentral:rRNA from 1 species